CCUACGGGUGGCAGCAGUCGGGAAUAUUGCGCAAUGGAGGAAACUCUGACGCAGUGACGCCGCGUAUAGGAAGAAGUUUUUCGGAAUGUAAAAUAUUGUCGUUAGGGAAGAGAAAGGACAGUACCUAAGGAGGAAGCUCAGGCUAACGACGUGCCAGAAGCCGCGGUAAUACGUAGGGAGCGAGCGUUAUCCGGAAUGAUUGGGUGUCAUGGGUGCGUAGUCGGGAAAACAAGUUAGUUGUGAAAUCCUUCGGCUUAACUGAGGAACUGCAACUAAAACUAUUUUUCUUGAGUGCAGGAGAGGUAAGUGGAAUGCGUGGUGUAGCGGUGAAAUGCAUAGAUAUUAGGAGGAACACCAGUGGCGAAGGCGACUUACUGGACUGUAACUGACGUUGAGGCACGAAAGUGUGGGGAGCGAACAGGAUUAGAUACCCUUGUAGUC
rnacentral:rRNA from 1 species